UUCAACCUGGCUGGGACGCUACAAUAUAUAUAUUUGCAUAUGUAUUUUUAUUAUGAUUUAUGGGAUCCUCUCACUUUUAGAUGCCUCUCAUGCCCCGGCCUAGCACACCAUUGGAUGUAUUUGGUUCUUGUACUGGUGCCUUUCUUGAGUUCAGAUAUACCUCUGCAGCCAAGGGCCUUCCACCCUAGAGCGCCACAUAAGUAGAGCUGCUGACAGUGGGCACCAUUAGAGUCUAGCUGUCGACUUUUACACUGUGGUUAAGAUCAGGGUUGUCAAAUACUGUCGCGUACAUUAGCUCCACCUACUUGGAGCUCCAGGAUGGAGUCUCGGGGCUGCAAAGACCCCAGAUACCUUGAGUCUGACGCCGCCGCGGGUCGCCUUUGUCCACGUUUGCCAGACAGGAGUAAAGGAGUUUGAUACCUGGUGGAUGGACGAAAACUAAAAAGGUGCCGGUUCAUACAAUGGCACGUUUCACCUUCUUUGAGGAGGAACUACGCCGAGCUGCCCACAGAGCAGAACAAAGACAAAGAAAAAAGACUCAAGACAAAGGCACAAAGAAGAACUGAAGCUGCAGAGAAAGAACAAUACAGCACUUUUAAGUAAGUAGCAAGUCCAAAUGUUAUACAAUAAUAGGACAAGCCAUUAAUUGUAACAGAUUUAAAAGGGUAUUCCAACAUAAUACAUUUGCAGCAAAUUACCAUUCCAAGAUUUGGAAACUAGUUAAGAAUACCAAAAGUAAGGGCAACAAUUUUGGGCUCACAAAGUGUAGAUACUGGGUAUUAAUUCGCUGGGAUAAUUAAUACAAUUAAUAGUAUUAUUUAGAAAGAGCAAAUUGGUGACCUUUUUAAAGAAGCAGGUGCAGCUGGUACAGUUACAAGUCAGAUUAAGUUUAAUUAGGUCUAACAAUCAAAAAAAAAAAGAUGCCCUGCUGCAGUUGUCAGUUGUACAAACACAGGACCAAUGGACCAAUGCUGAACUAAGGUGUUUAUCACAGCAGGUAUGCCUGUGGUGAUCAAACAACUGUAUCGGUGGCCUACAAGGAGAAUGGUAAGGGUGGCAUAGUAAUAAUGUUUCUCCUGUUGGACAGGAAGACACUUGAUACCCAUGGAGGUCAUGCCAGUGUAUACUGAUAAAGGCUGAUGGCAGUCAACAAGAGUUAUAACACACCAUGCUUGGAAAAACAUAAAAGACAGCUAACCUAGCUGAACUAAGUCAACCCCAAAUUUGUAAAGAGUGGCCACAAGGGUUGGUUUGUGACCGGUUUAUGCAGAGGCACAUCAUGUGCCCCACAUGUACUCUCACAUGGGCAGAGGUGUGUGGCACUGGCACUUGCAGACUGUAACCUUCCAAAUUUUGAAGUUAAUAGUACAGCAGCAUAUGCUUUAAGGAUUACUUGGGAACACAGAUCUAAUUAGCAGUUAGACACAGGACUAACAAAGAUCAGGUGAAAAAAAUUAUUGACUAACAAAGAUCAGGUAAAAAAAAAAAAUUCACAUAAUAGACUUAACAUAAAAUCAGGUCAGUUUAGUCAAAGGCUUGGACUUAUCUCAUUUUGAACCAACAUAUUUGUGGAAUAAUAAAAAGCUUGCAAAAGCUUAAAAAAAAAAAAAGAAGCAGCAGCAAGCCGGGGCAGAGAAAAGUCAUUAGUCACAUCCAAAUUCUUCAGAUUGAAAAAAUAAAAAUGAUAAAAUUUAAAAAUAAAAAUAAAAAAUAAAGAAGAUUAUGCAAUGAGCGAAGAGUCACAACCAGUUUUGAUUGCAGGAAGAACUAUGGCUGCCAUUUGAGGCAGCAUUUGAGAAACUGACCACUGGAACAGUUAACAGUUCUGACUGUACAAAGGACUAUGAUUUAAAAAGCCAAUUAUACAAAAAUCAUCAGAGGUGGAGUGUUAAUGGAGAUUAAUAUAAAAUAUGUUGAUAACUGUAAGAAAUUAUCAGUAAAGAAUUAAAAGAAAAGAAAGAAGUAGUGUUCUUUAAGAUAUAGUAAUUCAGUUCCCAUGCAAGCCUCAAGGUUUUGCCAAGUGCUGCUUUGGAAGUAUACUUUGUAGGGGUUGUGGCAUGUCUCAAACCAGUUUGUCAAGGGUGGUGCUGUGCAGGACAUUCUAUAAGCUCAUUCACCCCACAAUGACUAUAAACUGCCUAGCUGGCAGGAGCAGGCUACAACUGAAGAAAGCAACUGUGGGAUGGGUUGUACUUGUGCACUUUCAUUGAAUGGUCCUGAAAGGGACUAGACUCAUUCAAAUGGUCAUUGGAAUUGGGAUGUGGCUGAAAUAGCUUUGUAUGAACCAUGGGUGUUUGCCUGCAUCCAUUGGUCUAAAGGUAUUCCAAAAGAAGUUGGAGAGUAAAAGACAAGAAUCGUACUUCCCCUCAGUAAAUUUUCUCUGUUCUUCUCUCUAUCACCAUCUGACUGUGAAUAGAGGACCAUCUCUCUCAAACUUACAAUUUCUCCAUGAUGAAGAUAACUCUAUCACGGCACUCAUAUCGAGUGAGGCAUGAGGCCUGUUCCAAUACUCGAUUCAAAGACCAUGUGGUAGCAAAGUCAAAACUAGACUGAAGAUAAUCAGAGACAAGCCAAUGGACGCAACAUACACUGCUACUUUGGCUGUAAUGGUUAAUUUUGUCAAACUUGUUUCAUUUUGGUUAAUGAUUUGGGCAUAUCAUCACACAUAAUUUAAAGUGCAACUCUCUCCUUUAUUUGUUCUUUCUUUUGAUCUGAUUGCCUGCACUUAUAGAUAAAAGAUGAGAAGGUGGGAGUAAGUGCUAAAAUACAGUUCCUGACCACAGAGUGGUAAAAGUAUGGAAUUCAAGACAUUUUAUUAAGGCCUACACAAUAAAGAGUAUAAAGGGGAAAACAGGGUUACGAUAGGACCCUACAAGACAAAACAGAUGUUUUAACAGCAGGCCUAAUGCAAACAAUCACGCAGCAAAACCAACUGAUGGGCCACGAGAAUAGCACCAGUAACCAAUAGGGUGGAUGAACGAAUGAAGAUGGAGCAGUUGUCUUCGACAGGGAAAAAAAGGUGUGAUCAUGUUGUGAUAUUGAAAGAGAAAGUCAGGCAAAGCUCAAUGGUUAGUAAGUGCUGCUUUUUUCGGUGUUGACUACUGGAAAUCUUAAGAUGCAUGCUGACUCUCAUCUUGGUUAUCCAUUCUAAUGUGUUGCCCUCCAGCCCCCGGUCAUGCUGAAAACUACAAUAUGGGAUGAUAGCAGCCCCGCAUCCACCCCUUGCUCUUCAUUCGCAAUGCUGCAAACUCCAGUAGAGACCAACUCUUCACUGUUAAAUCACUUAGUACUGCAGCAUCAGUCCACGAGGGCCAACACACUGAAAAUAACAUCAAACACAGAGGCAUGCCCUAACGCACUCUGGGCUUUCAUUGCAAACUAUGUGCAGAAUUUUUUCUAACAACACAGCAGUGCUUAUACUUGACCUUGCUUUGCUAAUUUUGGUUAAUGAUUCAGACACUCCACAUUUUUCUUCCCCCAACCCUCUUAAAAGUUAGUAAUAACAGGUACAACUCUUCUUCCAUCAGCAAAGUAUCACUUUCUCUGCUAUGACACUGUUAGAUUUGCAACAUUGACCAAAAACUAUUACCCAUCUGUACUGACAAGUAGGCUAUCAACGAGGCGAUCAGAUGGGCUACUACAGUUAUGAAUGUGUUCAGGUCACUGACAGCAUGUGUACUUUAUCUUGGGGUCUGCACAAAGGCUUCAUGCAAGAAGUAUUAACAAGCCCUGAGAAAGGGGUGAUAGAAUUUCUAAUGUGGAAGCCACAUACAUUUUGUCUUGACACUUGAAGUUACAAACGCCAUGCUCUUCAUGUUAUUAAUAUAACACAUAGGGUACCAGUGCUUAUGUAUAUACACUUGAAGCACUGCUUUGCAUAUACAUUAACAUCUGCAGAUUUUAAACAGGGACUACAUACAACUGGUGAAAACACAAAAGUGCUGUAUUUGAGUGAAAAACAUUAAGAAAUGAAAACUGUAAACAUUUAAUAAUAUUAUUAAGUUAUUAUUUGGUACCUUUAUCCAAAGAGACUUUUGGAGACAUUUGAAAUACAGUUGGUCACAAAAAAAAAAAA